rnacentral:rRNA from 1 species
AUUGAACGCUGGCGGCAGGCCUAACACAUGCAAGUCGAGCGCGCGGCGGACGGGUGAGUAAUGUCUGGGCAUCUGCCUGAUGGAGGGGGAUAACUACUGGAAACGGUAGCUAAUACCGCAUACCAUCAGAUGCGCCCAGAUGGGAUUAGCGAGUAGGUGGGGUAACGGAUCACCUAGGCGACGAUCCCUAUCUGGUCUGAGAGGAUGACCAGCCACACUGGAACUGAGACACGGUCCAGAAUCCUACGGGAGGCAGGAGUGGGGAAUAGUGCACAAUGGGCGCAAGCCUGAUGCAGCCAUGCCGCGUGUAUGAAGAAGGCCUUAGGGUUGUAAAGUACUUUCAGCGGGGAGGCGUUACCCGCAGAAGAAGCACCGGCUAACUCCGUGCCAGCAGCCGCGGUAAUAC